ensembl:lncRNA
AAUGAAGGCUACUUCAAUGAAGCUUUUUUCUGAAUUGAAAUAGCCGUUUCAUUGUUUGGAUGGUGACACUAAUUCUCUUGGAUUUUAGUUCCGGGCCAGAGAUCGAAUCCAUGCCCUUAGCAGAAGUGCGAAGUCAACCACUGGACCUCCAGGGAAGUUCCACCAGAACUAUUGCAGCCACCUUGCAACCAUGAGGCAACAAGCAGGAGAAUGAAAGCUAAUUUUCUGAGAAUAACAACACUGGAAGAUAGAAAUUCCUUCUAUCCUUGAUGGCAUGGUUCAGGGGCCCCAACCUCUACAAUCUAAUGCCUGAUGAUCUAAGGUGGAGCUGAUAUAAUAAUAAAGUGCACAAGAACUGUAAUGCACUUGAAUUAUCCUGAAACCAUCCUC